CCUCCCUCCUGCCUCCCUUGCAGCCCCCUGAUCUGUGAGGCCAACAGCAGCACCAUGAGGGAGAACUUCGAUGCCCUGCUGGCCCUGGGUAAGGCUCUGCUGCCCGCUGCGGGCUGUGCUCCCGUGCCCCGCACCCGACAGCUCAGCAGGGUGACGGCACCAACCCUGGUACCCUCAUGGUGCGGGUCCCGCUGGUUUCCUGUGGCUCAGCUUGGCCCCAUCCUGCGCAGGUGUUCCCAUCGCCAAACCGGAGCCGGUGCCGCAGGCGGAGGAGCCGUGUGCCGGGGCACAGCUGGAGGACGGCGAGGCACCGGGCUGUGCCGGCUCAGCGAGGCUGCUGGUACCCAAGGAGGAGGUGCUGCCGGAGGGCGAUGCCGAUGGUGGCGGUGCAACGGGUGCCACGCAAGGGCCGGAGCUCGGCUGCUCAGGUGAGGGGAUGUGUCGGCACACGGCACGCCGUGGCUGAUGAGCUGGUCGCGGUGACGGCCGCUUGGCACCCGCGGUGGUGCCGCCUUUCCUUGGUGUGGGACACACCGGCAGCGCUCUGUGCCCACAGAGGACUGGCUGGUACGGAAGGUGAAGGUAGAGGAAGAGGAUGAGGAGUGGGUGGCCGGGCUGGCCACCGAGACCCUGUUGGCGGGGCAGCCCCGGGCAGCGCCUGCAAGCCGGAGCCGAUGGAGGAGCCGGAGCUGCCGGAGGAGCCGGGGGAGCUGGGCUACGGCACGCUGCCCGCCUUCGCGUGGCCGCUGCUGGGCG
rnacentral:lncRNA from 1 species